CACAUCCACACUGGUUUGGAGUUGACAGGAUGUGGUUCAGAGGCAGCCUAACCUUCUCCAUCUCCAAAUGUCAGGGACAGGACAGGCUGCAGGAGGGAGAGCCUGCCGGGGAUGAAUCACUGAGAGAGGGUUUUGUUUGUUGAAAAAACCAGCCGUGCCAUCUCUUCUCCCACCCUUUUCCUGGAACUCUGAAGUUUGGCUUUUGUUGGAUUAAUGACCUCUAAGUUCCCACCUCGGUUUCUGGGAUCAAGUCCCUUAGCCACUCAGCACCUUGGCCCACUGGGCAGCAGGCUGACAGUGAGGGCUGAGCUCACGUGGCAGCUGUGGGGGGCUCAAUGGAGUCUCUUCUGAAGGUGGAGACAGGUCCGCUGGAGCCCAGACGUACCCCCUCUGGAGCCAUUACACAACCUGCUCUGUUUCAGCUUCUGUUGUCUCUCUACCCUGCAAACUCCUCAUCACCGUACAAAACCCAAUCUUGUCAGCCACUGUUGGCAUUGCAGCAUGAGUUUUCUGUCUGCUGCCCUUGGAUCGAUCGUAGGCUCCCUCCCCAAGGUUAAGGAUUGUACUUGUUGGCUCAGAGAAAUGAGCCAAUUCCAGUGUCUGGCAUAGCUGCAGAAUGAAAUGUUUCAUCUCUGGAAGAAAGGAAAGUUGGCCCCUCUGAGACCUCUGGGCACAUCUGAACACACAGGCCUGCUGUGUGCCCUAAGUCUGUCACUGUGAACACAAUGUUGUCUCUGUGGCUUUACCCAACCUAAGCCUUAAGUCUUUGGGUCUGCAGUCUUGGCUCCUGUGUCCUGCAAAGCUAGAGUGGAAUAAACUUGUCUUGCUUA
rnacentral:lncRNA from 1 species